rnacentral:piRNA from 1 species
UCAAGAGCACUGGGUGCUCCUGCA